GCGUUGUCCGGAAUUAUUGGGCGUAAAGAGCUCGUAGGCGGCUUGGCAAGUCGGGUGUGAAAACUUCAGGCUCAACCUGGAGGUGCCACUCGAGACUGCUAUGGCUAGAGUCCGGUAGGGGACCACGGAAUUCCUGGUGUAGCGGUGAAAUGCGCAGAUAUCAGGAGGAACACCGGUGGCGAAGGCGGUGGUCUGGGCCGGCACUGACGCUGAGGAGCGAAAGCGU
rnacentral:rRNA from 1 species